rfam:Streptomyces sp. NRRL F-6602 F6602contig457.1, whole genome shotgun sequence.
CUUCACCGAGCCCAGCCACAGCGGACGGUCCCCGGGACGGUCCUGGCCGUACGUCGCCAACAACGCCUGCGCCUC